AGAGUUUGAUCAUGGCUCAGAUUGAACGCUGGCGGCAGGCCUAACACAUGCAAGUCGAGCGGUAGCACAGAGAGCUUGCUCUCGGGUGACGAGCGGCGGACGGGUGAGUAAUGUCUGGGAAACUGCCUGAUGGAGGGGGAUAACUACUGGAAACGGUAGCUAAUACCGCAUAACGUCGCAAGACCAAAGUGGGGGACCUUCGGGCCUCAUACCAUCAGAUGUGCCCAGAUGGGAUUAGCUAGUAGGUGGGGUAACGGCUCACCUAGGCGACGAUCCCUAGCUGGUCUGAGAGGAUGACCAGCCACACUGGAACUGAGACACGGUCCAGACUCCUACGGGAGGCAGCAGUGGGGAAUAUUGCACAAUGGGCGCAAGCCUGAUGCAGCCAUGCCGCGUGUGUGAAGAAGGCCUUCGGGUUGUAAAGCACUUUCAGCGGGGAGGAAGGCGAUAAGGUUAAUAACCUUAGCGAUUGACGUUACCCGCAGAAGAAGCACCGGCUAACUCCGUGCCAGCAGCCGCGGUAAUACGGAGGGUGCAAGCGUUAAUCGGAAUUACUGGGCGUAAAGCGCACGCAGGCGGUCUGUCAAGUCGGAUGUGAAAUCCCCGGGCUCAACCUGGGAACUGCAUUCGAAACUGGCAGGCUAGAGUCUUGUAGAGGGGGGUAGAAUUCCAGGUGUAGCGGUGAAAUGCGUAGAGAUCUGGAGGAAUACCGGUGGCGAAGGCGGCCCCCUGGACAAAGACUGACGCUCAGGUGCGAAAGCGUGGGGAGCAAACAGGAUUAGAUACCCUGGUAGUCCACGCCGUAAACGAUGUCGAUUUGGAGGUUGUGCCCUUGAGGCGUGGCUUCCGGAGCUAACGCGUUAAAUCGACCGCCUGGGGAGUACGGCCGCAAGGUUAAAACUCAAAUGAAUUGACGGGGGCCCGCACAAGCGGUGGAGCAUGUGGUUUAAUUCGAUGCAACGCGAAGAACCUUACCUGGUCUUGACAUCCACAGAACUUNGGCCGGGAACUCAAAGGAGACUGCCAGUGAUAAACUGGAGGAAGGUGGGGAUGACGUCAAGUCAUCAUGGCCCUUACGACCAGGGCUACACACGUGCUACAAUGGCAUAUACAAAGAGAAGCGACCUCGCGAGAGCAAGCGGACCUCAUAAAGUAUGUCGUAGUCCGGAUUGGAGUCUGCAACUCGACUCCAUGAAGUCGGAAUCGCUAGUAAUCGUAGAUCAGAAUGCUACGGUGAAUACGUUCCCGGGCCUUGUACACACCGCCCGUCACACCAUGGGAGUGGGUUGCAAAAGAAGUAGGUAGCUUAACCUUCGGGAGGGCGCUUACCACUUUGUGAUUCAUGACUGGGGUGAAGUCGUAACAAGGUAACCGUAGGGGAACCUGCGGUUGGAUCACCU
rnacentral:rRNA from 1 species